GCCGCCGGCGCCGCCAUGGGCAAGAAGCACAAGAAGCACAAGGCCGAGUGGCGCUCGUCCUACGAGGAUUAUGCCGACAAGCCCCUGGAGAAGCCUCUAAAGCUAGUCCUGAAGGUCGGAGGAAGUGAAGUGACUGAACUCUCAGGAUCCGGCCACGACUCCAGUUACUAUGAUGACAGGUCAGACCAUGAGCGAGAGAGGCACAAAGAAAAGAAAAAGAAGAAGAAGAAGAAGUCCGAGAAGGAGAAGCAUCUGGACGAUGAGGAAAGAAGGAAGCGAAAGAGAAGAAGCGGAAGCGAGAGAGGGAGCACUGUGACACGGAGGGAGAGGCUGACGACUUUGAUCCUGGGAAGAAGGUGGAGGUGGAGCCGCCCCCAGAUCGGCCAGUCCGAGCGUGCCGGACACAGCCA
rnacentral:lncRNA from 1 species